UUUUUCUUUCUUUUUUUAACUUUUUAUUUUUCCUGAAACUGUAUUCACUUUCUCAAUGCCGAUUCAGAUGAGAUGAGAAGAGAUGAGAAACAGAGAAAGUGACGUAACAACCUUCACCAUGCUACAGUUCAUCGUUCGUUGUCGUGAUUCGCAUUGGACAUUCACCGUUCGCUGUUCACCGUUCACUAUUCACUGUCGCGGUUCGCGUUCACCGUUCACUGUCCCUGCAUCGUCCUUUCUCUUCCCUUCGAGUGCGACCCCUAAUUCCACAUCCAGCGACUUUUUCUUUUCUUCCAACCUUGAUAGGUCAAACAUACACUUGAAACUCUUAUAAUAUGUAUGUUGGUUACUGCCAAGUGCCAAAUGUAUCUACUCAAUUGUUAAAGAGUAAAGACAGAGCACAUGGAAGAAAAAGUAGGGGAAGGUGUAAUGUUUAUUAGAGUAGCACCAAAUUUAUAUUUUUCUCUAUUCUUGUCUUUUGUCUUGGGUUAGAUGUUCAAUCACAAAAGUGGCAUAUGCAGAGCCUGGCCCUCUCUCUUGAGUAAAUUUGUGAUUAUGACUAAUCUGAAUUGCUUUGAAGUUUGAAGUUUGAAGAGGUUCUUUGAUGCUUGUUCUUCAGUUGAUGGAUGUUAAAGGCCUCACAAUUUCACACGUCAAGAGCCAUCUUUAGAUGUACAGAAGCAUGAGGGAUGACUUGGGAAGGUAAGUAUGAAUUCAACGCCGAAAAGGGGGAGGAUAACAAGGGAGAGUUAUACAAUUUUGUCCUAGCUUGCCACCAUACAUAAGUGGAUUGAUCAUUUUGGAGGGUCGACUACCCAUGCCAUCUUUUGACAAGGCACUGCAUAUUUUACUAUUUUUUACUUUAAUUUUACCAAUCCACAAUGAAUUCAGUAGUUUGCAUAAAUUAAUUAAUCGAAAUCUGUCAAUAACUCAUCAAGAUUGAAUGUCCAUUAAUAUUUGUGUGAUAGAUCUUCAUAAGGCUUUUCAUGCUUAAUUCUUUUAAAGGCUCAAUAAUUGCCACUACAUAUAGAUAGCAGCUUCACUUUUGGUACCUCAACUUGGGAAGCUUGAGCAUUUACAAUAUCUUUUUGCUGUUCUUUCUAAAGUGACUUUAUUUUUUUCAGUUGAUUUUAAUUUAAUGUAUUUAAUUUACUUGCAUUCUCUUCUUUCUUGAUUUCUUUGUACUGGUGUUUAUGAAUGAAAUUCAUUUUUUGUUGAAGUCCUGUUUAAUACUAAACAUUCUUGGGCAACAUCCUUUAGGAUAAAGUUUAGGAACAUAUGCAUCAAGUCAUGUAAUAACGAAUUAUACUUUAGCUACAUCUGAUGGAGGAGAAGGAGCGGCAGAAAGCCAAAGCAAAGGCUAAGGAGGUUGAGGCAGCUGAGGCUGCAAAAAGAAGUGCUAGAGCUGCAGUUGCUUCAUUGCUUCCUUCCAAGUUGUUUGGGAAUAAGGAUGCUGAUUCAGAGGCUAAAUGAUGCAAAUGCUUCUGAGCCAGAGUUGGUAGAGAGAAUAACUGAAACUGAGAGUUCAGUUAAUGGAGAGACUAAAAAAGAGGAGUCUCAAUUGAAAUCAGGGGGCAGGCAGGAUUCUUAUGAAGCUCGGAUUUGAAGUGACUGAAGAUUGAUCAUUCACCAUAAGGCUUUUGGACUGAACCGGAAUAAUGUUGUCAACUGCAGAAGAAGCUAUUGAACUUACAGCAGAGGGACUGGAUACCAUUGAAGCAAUUGAUUGUAUUUUAGGAUCAUCUUGGAGUUUCUUUUUGGGAACUUGAUUCCAAGUAUACUGGAUAUUUGGAGCCAAAUUGUCUGAAGGUAUUUUUGUUGGCUCAUUUCUCUCUAUGUCAUCAAUAGCAGUGAGGACAAGAGUUGCUUGUGAAGUAAUUGUUGAAGUUUGAUACUAUUGAGGUUGAAUGUGAAGUGAAGUUGAGGAGAAAAGUUGAGGAUUAAGUUACAAGUACAAUUGUUAGCUUUAUAUGUUUCGAUUAAGUUAGGAUUUUUUGAAUUUACAUUUUAUGGAUUAUGACUAUGUAAAAUUUGUAGAAUUUAACUUUUGAAAUAUAUUGUUUCUAUUUUUGUAAAACUUGUGAGAUUGAGUUUAAAUUUGUUGAAAUAU